CAGUGGACUGAAUUUCGGUCCCUCUUAAUGUAAAUUAAGAUGAGAAAAUUGGGUGAAUUCGGGGAAGUCCGUCGACUAGCGGAUAAUCCCGAGCCAAGCCCCGAUGGGUAAAAGUAUCGGGGAAGGUGUAGAGACUAGCGAGUGAGCCCCAACAAUAAUCUCGCAUUAGCGCCCAACCCCCGACUGAGUCGGGGUGAUGAUAUAGUCCGAUCCUUGUGGAAACACAAGA
rnacentral:ncRNA from 1 species